rnacentral:rRNA from 1 species
GACGAACGCUGGCGGCGCGCCUAACACAUGCAAGUCGAACGAGCGAGAGAGAGCUUGCUUUCUCGAGCGAGUGGCGAACGGGUGAGUAACGCGUGAGGAACCUGCCUCAAAGAGGGGGACAACAGUUGGAAACGACUGCUAAUACCGCAUAAGCCCACGGGUCGGCAUCGACCAGAGGGAAAAGGAGCAAUCCGCUUUGAGAUGGCCUCGCGUCCGAUUAGCUGGUUGGUGAGGUAACGGCCCACCAAGGCGACGAUCGGUAGCCGGACUGAGAGGUUGAACGGCCACAUUGGGACUGAGACACGGCCCAGACUCCUACGGGAGGCAGCAGUGGGGAAUAUUGCACAAUGGGGGAAACCCUGAUGCAGCGACGCCGCGUGGAGGAAGAAGGUCUUCGGAUUGUAAACUCCUGUUGUUGGGGAAGAUAAUGACGGUACCCAACAAGGAAGUGACGGCUAACUACGUGCCAGCAGCCGCGGUAAAACGUAGGUCACAAGCGUUGUCCGGAAUUACUGGGUGUAAAGGGAGCGCAGGCGGGAAGACAAGUUGGAAGUGAAAUCUAUGGGCUCAACCCAUAAACUGCUUUCAAAACUGUUUUUCUUGAGUAGUGCAGAGGUAGGCGGAAUUCCCGGUGUAGCGGUGGAAUGCGUAGAUAUCGGGAGGAACACCAGUGGCGAAGGCGGCCUACUGGGCACCAACUGACGCUGAGGCUCGAAAGUGUGGGUAGCAAACAGGGUUAGAUACCCUGGUAGUCCACACCGUAAACGAU